rnacentral:rRNA from 1 species
UACGUAGGGGGCAAGCGUUGUCCGGAAUCAUUGGGCGUAAAGCGCGCGUAGGCGGGUUUUUAAGUCAGGGGUGAAAUCCUGGAGCUCAACUCCAGAACUGCCUUUGAUACUGAAGAUCUUGAGUCCGGGAGAGGUGAGUGGAACUGCGAGUGUAGAGGUGAAAUUCGUAGAUAUUCGCAAGAACACCAGUGGCGAAGGCGGCUCACUGGCCCGGUACUGACGCUGAGGUGCGAAAGCGUGGGGAGCAAACAGG